rnacentral:tRNA from 1 species
GGGCUUGUGGUUUAGUGGUAUAAUUUUCCCUUAGCAUUUGUGUGCUCUACAGCAUUGCGGAAGCGUGGGAAAGGUCCUGGGUUCGAUUCCCAGCAAGUCCA